GGGGGUAUAGCUCAGUGGUAGAGCAUUCGUCUGCAGAUCGAGAGGUCCCCGGUUCAAACUCGUAUACUCCCU
rnacentral:tRNA from 1 species